AACGCAUAUUGCGCUCUCUGGUAUUCCGGGGAGCAUGCCUGUUUCAGCAUCAUUUGAACAUCUCAAAAUCACUUUUGUGAUUUUGGAAAGUUGGGCUUUAUGUUUUGUGUUUAUAUAUACAAAACUAGCCUGAAAUUGUGUUACAAAUAAUGCAAGAAUUGUGUGGAUGCUUUGUUGCUUAAGACGAAAAGCUAAUUAGUUGACUGUGGUCAAAUUUGCUGACUAGUCUUUCAAAACUUGGAUAAUCUACAUUCAACAAAUUGAUCUGAAAUCAGGUAGGAUUACCCGCUGAACUUAA
rnacentral:misc_RNA from 1 species